rnacentral:ncRNA from 1 species
AUGACCACAAGAUUUCAUGGUGUCCGAUCGGCGUAAAACGCCCGGACUUAAUCGGGAAUGGGGAACGGGCAAACCACCAGUGGUGCCCCAAGCCUCAACCGCCCCCGCGACUGUAUGCGGAGAGCGGCCUUCCAGGAAACCACUGGUCCGUCAGGACUGGGAAGGGGGAGGGCUGCUGUGACCCGCGAGUCAGGAGACCGGCCAUGCAGAUGAAGUCAAG